GACGAACGCUGGCGGCGUGCUUAACACAUGCAAGUCGAACGGAAAGGCCCUGCUUUUGUGGGGUGCUCGAGUGGCGAACGGGUGAGUAACACGUGAGUAACCUGCCCUUGACUUUGGGAUAACUUCAGGAAACUGGGGCUAAUACCGGAUAGGAGCUCCUGCUGCAUGGUGGGGGUUGGAAAGUUUCGGCGGUUGGGGAUGGACUCGCGGCUUAUCAGCUUGUUGGUGGGGUAGUGGCUUACCAAGGCUUUGACGGGUAGCCGGCCUGAGAGGGUGACCGGCGACAUGGGGACUGAGAUACGGACCAGACGCCUACGGGAGGCAGCAGGGGGGAAUAUUGCACAAUGGGCGGAAGCGUGAGGCAGCAACGCCGCGUGCGGGAUGACGGCCUUCGGGUUGUAAACCGCUUUCGCCUGUGACGAAGCGUGAGUGACGGUAAUGGGUAAAGAAGCACCGGCUAACUACGUG
rnacentral:rRNA from 1 species